UUAUUUAUUCUUUUUUUUCUUUUCUAAAUGCACAUAUGUGUAUGUUUCCGUUCGCUUCUAAUAAUUCAUUUAUCUCCCUUUCGUGCAGAUCGGGAGGAAGCAGACACACGCACACACACGCACACAAAGAAAUGCCGAGCCAUGCAAAUCGAGCGAGAGCACAAAUCAACUUCUGAUUACAUCGGCUCCAAUUUUUCCUCCCUUCGUGCAACACAGCAGAAGCACACAUUUUUAUUUUUUUUUUCAGCGCAAAUGAUGCUAUGUGAUGAGGAGGGAGGAAGGGGGCGGGGGGGGGGGGGGGGAAACCCUGCUCUGCCGAAGAACAGAAAUUCGAAGAAUUAAAACUGGGAGGAGAGAGAAACCGGGACUUUUCUUUCCCCUCCUCCCCCCCUCCUUUGAAGCUGAGAGGAGGGCUACUGCCCCGGGACACUGCAGGAGUUUAAAAAAAAAAAAAAAAUAGAAAAAAAAAUCUGAGAAAGAUCAAAAACCGGCUCCGCAAGUCCCAGCGGCGACCUCUCCCCCCGCCGCAUUCCCCAAAGCGCGCGGCGCAAACCCGGAGCGGAGCCGGGCGAGGCGGCGGGGGGGACCCGGGGGGGUCCCGGGUGGUGGCCCUGUCACCCCCGCUGCCUGUCCCUGUCCUGCUCCGGGACGGGAGGCAGAGCCCAGCUCCCUUCCUUCCUUCCCUCCCCAUUUCCCUGCUUCUUUUUCCCGCAGCGCAGCCCCGGCUUCAAGCUCAGCACGGCUGCCAGGACCCACCGUGCCCGCCUCUGCCUGCCCAGGUGGCCGGGGAUGCCGAGCCCCGGCUCCGCACCUGCGGCCCAUAAAUAAUGGGGAAAACAAGCAGGGCCGGCGGUUAUUAAUUAGCCGGUUUCAUUAAAAUCCGUCCCCCAGAGCCCUCUGCCUGCGCACGGACACGCGAAGCCCUCCCCGGGAGUCCUGCCGUGUGCUGGAGAAAAAAGGGGAAAAAAACGUCGGAUUUGCUCGCUGGAAAACUUGCCCGAGGUUUAGUGGUGCUGGUUUUUCCUACUGAAGGUCGGUGCCUUUGGCUUCCUUCCCCCCCCCCCGGCGGGGGGGUGUAGCCGGGGAGAGGCGGAGGAGCCCCCGAAGAGGAGCCUGGAGGGGAUGUCGUGGGGGAAAACGUGUCCGGAGGGGCCAGGCUGUUCUGGAGGGUGGGCAGAGCCUGCCCAGCAUCAGAGAGAAAGUGGGGAGGGGGAGAAAGUGGGGUGAGCCCCCCCUCAUAUUUAAUAUCACCCCCCCCCGCCACCGCUGGAGUGAAAAGUUACCGAAACGGGGUGAAAAAUAAUCACUUA